rnacentral:tRNA from 1 species
GGACGGGUGGUCGAGUGGUUGAAGGCACCGCACUCGAAAUGCGGCGUACCCGCAAGGGUACCGUGAGUUCGAAUCUCACCCCGUCCGCCA